rnacentral:rRNA from 1 species
ACAAAUUCUAGCCUAAAUAUUCCAAAAAUUUAAUAAUACUCUUCAAACAAACAAAACAUUUACCCUAAUAAAAGUAUAGGAGAUAGAAAUUAUCAUUUAGCGCUAUAGAGAUAGUACCGUAAGGGAAAGAUGAAAGAAUAAUUAAUAGUAAAACAAAGCAAAGAUAAGCCCUUUUACCUUUUGCAUAAUGAAUUAACUAGAAUAAACUUCACAAAAAGAAUUUCAGCCAAGUACCCCGAAACCAAACGAGCUACCUACGAGCAAUUAAUAAGAAUCAACCCAUCUAUGUAGCAAAAUAGUGGGAAGACUUGCAGGUAGAGGUGAAAAGCCUACCGAGCUUGGUGAUAGCUGGUUGUCCAGACUAGAAUCUCAGUUCAACUUUAAACUUACCUAAAGCACUAGUAAUCUUAAUGUAAGUUUAAUUGUUAAUCUAAAGAGGUACAGCUCUUUAGACAAAGGAAAUAACCUUAUUUAGAGAGUAAUUUUUAUUCAUUACCAUAGUUGGCCUAAAAGCAGCCACCAAUUAAAAAAGCGUUCAAGCUUAACUCAACUAACAUGAUUUAAUUCUAAAACCCAACAGAACCUCCUAAAUCAUAACUGGACUAAUCUAUAUAAAUAUAGAAGCAAUAAUGUUAAUAUAAGUAACAAGAACAAUAUUUCUCCCUGCAUAAGUUUAUAUCAGACCGAAUAAUUCACUGAUAGUUAACAGGCAUAUAAUAUUAUACACAAAAUAAACUCUUAUUAUUUACCUCUGUUAGCCCAACACUGGAAUGCACUCAGGGAAAGAUUAAACAAAGUAAAAGGAACUCGGCAAACACUAACCCCGCCUGUUUACCAAAAACAUCACCUCUAGCAUUACUAGUAUUAGAGGCACUGCCUGCCCAGUGACAUAUGUUUAACGGCCGCGGUAUCCUGACCGUGCAAAGGUAGCAUAAUCAUUUGUUCCUUAAAUAGGGACUUGUAUGAAUGGCUUAACGAGGGUUUAACUGUCUCUUACUUUUAAUCAGUGAAAUUGACCUUUCCGUGAAGAGGCGGAAAUAAUCAAAUAAGACGAGAAGACCCUAUGGAGCUUAAAUUUACUAAUCUAGGCAUUCCAAUAACUCAUUCUACGGAACACUAAAUCAAGCCUUCAGAUUACAAAUUUUGGUUGGGGUGACCUCGGAGUAAAAUAUAACCUCCGAAUGAUGCUAGCCCAGACUAGACCAGUCUAUGCUUCUAUUCAUUAAUUGACCCAAACUUAUUGAUCAACGGAACAAGUUACCCUAGGGAUAACAGCGCAAUUCCACUCAAGAGUCCAUAUCGACAGUGGAGUUUACGACCUCGAUGUUGGAUCAGGACAUCCAAAUGGUGUAACCGCUAUUAAUGGUUCGUUUGUUCAACGAUUAAAGUCCUACGUGAUCUGAGUUCAGACCGGAGAAAUCCAGGUCGGUUUCUAUCUAUUAACAUAUUUCUCCCAGUACGAAAGGACAAGAGAAAUAAGGCCAAUUAUAUAUCUAUGCCUUAGACCUAACAAAUGAAACUAUUUUAAUUUGGUAGAACAUUACAAAAACCCACCCUAGACAAGGGCCU